rnacentral:lncRNA from 1 species
UUCUUUCCGUGUGCUCCCCCCCCCCCCUUAAGCCUUAAGAUGUAGUGGUAUUGUAGUGGUCUGCAACUUGGGAUAAAGAUAAUUGAAACCGGUAUAUUUUGGACCCAUCUGCACAUAACAACGAAUUGGAUUAGGUUCAAUUAUACAAAACACAAGUGUCCUGUCUCUUUCUUUUUAUCUUUCUCCACUUUGCUUGAAAUUAACCUUAAAGCAAAUUUAAUUGCAUAUUCACACAAGGUAAAAUAAAAUGCCACAAUUUUAACACAAAAACAUCACAAAGACUAAAGAAAUGGAUGGUAUAAAUACAUGAAAUAUAUGAGUGAUCACAAUGUCCAUCCUUUCAUAAAGAAAGUUUGUUCCCUUGGAGUUAAUUUUAUCUUCUUCAUUUGACUUCUCCUUUGACUACAAUAGUCAUGGUCCCUAAACUCCCACUAUCUCUCUUGAAACCUUUUUCAAUUGUGUUAUACACAUCAAACAUUUUGGAGAGCAUGUGUUUAUUGUUUACUACAUAGUUUACAAUAAACUUAGUGAACCAUUAGGAUAGGGACAUAAAGGUGAAGUCCUUGCCUAGUUUCCGCCUCGUUAAGUGGUUUAUCACUUCACACUCAAUGAUUCAAAAUCAUCAUAAGUCCAUGUUGAUGGACUAUUUUUGUCAACCAACCAUUAUGUUCUAAACAUAAUUACAAACUUUCAAGAGUUGUACAAGGCAACUCUCAUUUCUUCAUACAACAAUUUGUAAGUGAAGAAUCAUGGCACAUUAAGUGUCCAUGCCUUUGUGCUUUCUUCUCAAGUUCUUUGUUCAUUUAACAAAGAAACAAGCACUAGUGUUUGCAUUGACUAAGGGUUGUUCAAAGCAACUCUUAUUUCUUCAUACAACGAUUUGUAAGUGAAGAACUAAUCACACUAAAAGUGUCCUUGUCAUUAUGCUAAUCUUCGUAAGUUCCUUUGUUCAUAUAACGAAGGAAUAAGCAUUGGUUGUUUGUGUUGUCCUUUUUCAUGAUAGACUUAUCUAACAUGUUCUUCCAAUGAUACAUUACCAAUAGGAAGAAUUUUAAGGAUUAGACUACUUAGGUACAUUUACAAGCCAUUUAAAGACAAUCUAUGGUUUUGUAGUACCAAGUCCGGAAACUAAACUUUCGGCUUUUAUUUGUCAAGUGUUGGAUAGCGUUUGCAAAUAUAU